GACGAACGCUGGCGGCGUGCCUAAUACAUGCAAGUCGAGCGGAGCUUAUCCUUCGGGGUAAGCUUAGCGGCGGACGGGUGAGUAACACGUAGGCAACCUGCCCCUUAGCCUGGGAUAACUACCGGAAACGGUAGCUAAUACCGGAUAAUUUCUUUUUUCUCCUGAAGAGAGAAUGAAAGGCGGAGCAAUCUGCCAUUAAGGGAUGGGCCUGCGGCGCAUUAGCUAGUUGGUGGGGUAACGGCUCACCAAGGCGACGAUGCGUAGCCGACCUGAGAGGGUGAACGGCCACACUGGGACUGAGACACGGCCCAGACUCCUACGGGAGGCAGCAGUAGGGAAUCUUCCGCAAUGGGCGAAAGCCUGACGGAGCAACGCCGCGUGAGUGAUGAAGGUUUUCGGAUCGUAAAGCUCUGUUGCCAGGGAAGAACGUCCGGUAGAGUAACUGCUACCGGAGUGACGGUACCUGAGAAGAAAGCCCCGGCUAACUACGUGCCAGCCGCCGCAGUAA
rnacentral:rRNA from 1 species